rnacentral:sRNA from 1 species
GUUUGCACUCAUCGGGGAAGGGUGAGAACCUUCGACUAAGGUUCGACUCGAGCGAAAGCGAGAGAACGUUGCCACAGGCAACGGCCCGAAGGGUGAGGAGCGAAGCGACGAAUAAUCCUUCCCCCACCACCA